ensembl:lncRNA
GCAGGAUUUAUAAUGAUUUAUUGAAGAAUGAGUAUACAGCUCGGUAUAGGCCCAACAGAAUCACACAGCACAUCCACUGAAAGAGACUGACUGGACCAAAUACCACAAUAAUACAUGUUGUCAAGAGGCCUUGACACAGUUGUGUACAGAAUAUAAGUACUUUACAUGUUUUUAAAAUACAAAUAUACUUUUUUUUUCACACACCAUCUGAGAAUAUAGAUAUUAGACAAAUAAAUAUACAUCUUGAUAAGGCUGAAAACACGUUCAUAUAUAUUGACAAUUCAGCGAUGAUCACACACGAAAUAAUUAAAAAGUUUGCCUAUAAAAUCUCCACAAAUUACAGGCUUAGUUUAUAACUAUCAGAGGAUCAAAAGGCCACUAGCACGAUCUCUAAAUUAAAAAUAUGUACAAUAAAUACAAAAAAAUCUCCAAACUAACACUCACACAAGACUUGCAUACAUGUAACAGACAUGCGCACACAUAGAUACAGACCAAAACACUCAUGCCUACCCACUUUCACACUGUCUCUAGUGUUAUAUAAAGAUUUAAAGUUAAAUAUACAACAAAAUAAAAUUACAUAAAUAUUUUCGCUGUGCAACUGCAAUUUUCAAUAGACAGCCCCAUACAAAAUACCGAAAUCAGUAACUACGCUAGGAAAAUGUGACAUUACAAGAACUAUUGAGUAUGGACACCCUCGUGGUGAUAACAGCAUUAUAGUGGCCUGAUGGUGUCUUUUGUUGAUUUACAUUUAUGUAUUGUAACACUGAGGUUGUCCUCAAGUAUAGUUUAAAAUACUAAUAUAGUAUGUUCUUCAACAAGACCAUCGUACCCAGUGAGAUGGAUUAACAUGUAAACAAUAUAAACGUGUUUUGUUCACGCAAGUUGUCGUACCGAUAAAACCAAUAAUGUGACACGACAACAUUCUUACAACCACAGUCACUUUACAAUACAAAUUUAAAAUUGUUAUUUGGCCAUUUGAGGUGUGCUAUAAAAAAACGUUUUCUUCAUCAGAAUUUUAAAUCUUGGGUUUCACUCAAAAUAUCUGAGCAUUCUUAAAAAGAUCAAUUUACUUGAGAAGCAAAAUAAAGAAAUGACAGAAUGUAUGUUUAUUUUUUUACACUACUGUUCCAAAGUUUGGGUGUCAGUAAGCUUUUAGAAGUCUCUCUAUUUGAUCAAAAAUACAGUAAAACAGUAAUAUUGUCCAGUGUGUUUUCUAUUUGAAUAUAUUUUAAAAUGUAACAUUCCUAUUAUGGUUGGUUUUCAAGAGCUGAAUUUUCAGCAGCCAUUACUCCAGUCUUCAGUGUCACAUGAUCCCUUAGAUAUCAUUCUAAUAUGCUGAUUUGAAACAUUUGUUAUUACUAUCAGUGCUGAAUACAAAUGUACUGCUUAACAUUUUGUGAAAACCAUAAUACAUGUUUAA